rnacentral:rRNA from 1 species
UACAGAAGGGGCAAGCGUUGUUCGGAAUUACUGGGCGUAAAGGGCGCGUAGGCGGCCUGUUAAGUCGAGCGUGAAAUCCCCGGGCUCAACCCGGGAACUGCGUCCGAUACUGGCAGGCUUGAAUCCGGGAGAGGGAUGCGGAAUUCCAGGUGUAGCGGUGAAAUGCGUAGAUAUCUGGAGGAACACCGGUGGCGAAGGCGGCAUCCUGGACCGGCAUUGACGCUGAGGCGCGAAAGCGUGGGGAGCGAACAGG